ensembl:snRNA U5 U5 spliceosomal RNA
AUACUCUGGUUUCUCUUCAGAUCGUAUAAAUCUUUCGCCUUUUACUAAAGAUUUCCGUGGAGAGGAACAGGCACGAGUGUCAAUGAAUUUUUUGAGGCUCUACUUCGGUAGAGCU